rnacentral:rRNA from 1 species
UACAGAGGGGGCAAGCGUUAUUCGGAAUUAUUGGGCGUAAAGGGCGCGUAGGCGGCUUUUCAAGUGACGGGUGAAAGCCCUCGGCUUAACCGAGGAACUGCCUGUCAGACUGGAAGGCUUGAGACCAGGAGAGGUGAGUGGAAUUCCCAGUGUAGCGGUGAAAUGCGUAGAUAUUGGGAGGAACACCAGUGGCGAAGGCGGCUCACUGGACUGGUACUGACGCUGAGGCGCGAAAGCGUGGGGAGCAAACAGG